GACAUUCUAGGCCAGCACUCUAUUGCCCUCAAUACAUUUCCACUCCAGCACUCCUUUACAAAGGAAGAGCAAGAGGAGGAAGAAGAUGGGAAUGAUUAUAGCAACACCCCAGUCAUGGGGGACUUUUGCGGUGGAAUCUAUAAAGGUGAAAAGGGAGGCUAAAACGGGGGCCCACCAGGAGAAGGGCUCAUCAGACAAGCAAAAGAUACCUACAAGCAACAAUUGUUAAACCUAUAAAGGAGCUGAUCACCAUUCUGAGAUAAGAUCCAGCAUUCUGCUAAUCAUCAGUUUUACUCAGAGCAAGUGCCUCUGUUGACCUUUGACCUCACUCUGACACUGCAGAUUUACAAUCCACAUUAAAAGGAACGUUUGACCACACUUUAUCCACUGUCCUCAGCAUAUAAUUAAAAUUUGUUACACGGUUCCUU